UCUCCCUUUGUUCUUAGAUAACAAAAUCACCCCCUGUUCAAGUGACACUCUCGGCUCCAUGCAGUAUCCAUUGAGUAAGCUCCCGGCAGACAAGGUUAUAGCUCGUCAAGUAGAGCUGAAGGAUUUCAUCUCGGCCUUGCAGACGACACCACGCACAGUCUCGCCCAAGGUUGUUCAGCAGCACUACGAGUUCUCCAUGGCAUCCAGCCAUAGUUAGGGCUUGGAAGCUUUCCUCGUGCUGUUCCUUUUCUCUCUUCUCUGAGAUAUCUUGAUAGUAUAUUGGAAGAUGAUGAUUUUUCUGUUAAGAAGAAAAUAAAGAAUUACUUAAUGUGAUUACUAGUCAUAAUAGAGAAUACAGCCAAUCAUUUUGAAAAUGUUUAUUUUCAGUAUGUAUAUUUAUAAAUACUGUUAUUGAAUUUAUUUCUUCCUUGUAAAGGAAGCAUUAUGAUCAAAGCUAUCAAGCUUGCUCGUAUAUUUUGUAAAUAUAUUUUUCUUUAAAAAGAGAACAUUUUCCAUUAUAUAGGAAGAUGAUAUUAUUAUGUGUGAUAUAGUUUAAGGGAGAUGGAUAUCAAGUAACUAUAUUCACCCACCUCCAGUUUGGGACGUGCUGAAUUGUGAAUAAAAUAAGCCGUAGUUUGUGCACGAAACUUGUGAGGUGGUUCACUUUGAUUUGUAUGGUUGUUAAGCCUUUGGAAAUCUUUCAGAUAAGAUAGAUAUAUAUAUAUUUUUUGUAUUUUCCACUUUAUUAUAUUGUCUACUUUGUUUGUCACUAUUCCUUUGAUUGAAUUAUCUUCAUUUUCGUGUUUUCUUUUCUUCUGUUAUACGUUUAAUAAUUAAAGUGAUGACUCUUUUA